rnacentral:rRNA from 1 species
UACGUAGGGGGCUAGCGUUGUCCGGAAUCAUUGGGCGUAAAGCGCGUGUAGGCGGCCCGGUAAGUCCGCUGUGAAAGUCGGGGGGCUCAACCCUCGGAUGCCGGUGGAUACUGUCGGGCUAGAGUGCGGAAGAGGCGAGUGGAAUUCCUGGUGUAGCGGUGAAAUGCGCAGAUAUCAGGAGGAACACCAAUUGCGAAGGCAGCUCGCUGGGACGUUACUGACGCUGGAGACGCGAAAGCGUGGGGAGCAAACAGG